rnacentral:rRNA from 1 species
GACGAACGCUGGCGGCGUGCUUAACACAUGCAAGUCGAACGGAAAGGCCCUGCUUUUGUGGGGUGCUCGAGUGGCGAACGGGUGAGUAACACGUGAGUAACCUGCCCUUGACUUUGGGAUAACUUCAGGAAACUGGGGCUAAUAACGGAUAGGAGCUCCUGCUGCAUGGUGGGGGUUGGAAAGUUUCGGCGGUUGGGGAUGGACUCGCGGCUUAUCAGCUUGUUGGUGGGGUAGUGGCUUACCAAGGCUUUGACGGGUAGCCGGCCUGAGAGGGUGACCGGCCACAUUGGGACUGAGAUACGGCCCAGACUCCUACGGGAGGCAGCAGUGGGGAAUAUUGCACAAUGGGCGGAAGCCUGAUGCAGCAACGCCGCGUGCGGGAUGACGGCCUUCGGGUUGUAAACCGCUUUCGCCUGUGACGAAGCGUGAGUGACGGUAAUGAGUAAAGAAGCACCGGCUAACUACGUG